rnacentral:rRNA from 1 species
AUGAAGAGGAUUGUGACUGAGCGGCGGACGGGUGAGUAACGCGUGGGUAACCUGCCUCAUACAGGGGGAUAACAGUUGGAAACGACUGCUAAUACCGCAUAAGCGCACAGCAUCGCAUGAUGCAGUGCGAAAAACUCCGGUGGUAUGAGAUGGACCCGCGUCUGAUUAGCCAGUUGGUAAGGUAACGGCUUACCAAGGCGACGAUCAGUAGCCGACCUGAGAGGGUGACCGGCCACAUUGGGACUGAGACACGGCCCAAACUCC